UACAGAGGUCCCGAGCGUUGUUCGGAUUCACUGGGCGUAAAGGGUGCGUAGGUGGCAUGGUAAGUUUGAUGUGAAAGCUCAGGGCUCAACCCUGAAAUGGCAUUGAAUACUACUGUGCUGGAGGUUUGGAGGGGGGACUGGAAUUCUUGGUGUAGCAGUGAAAUGCGUAGAUAUCAAGAGGAACACCAGUGGCGAAGGCGGCAUCCUGGACCAAUAUUGACGCUGAGGAGCGAAAGCCAGGGGAGCAAACGGG
rnacentral:rRNA from 1 species